rnacentral:misc_RNA from 1 species
UCUCCGUAGGUGAACCUGCGGAGGGAUCAUUACAGAGUUCGUGCCCUCGCGGGUAGAUCUCCCACCCUGUGUUAUUGCUACCUUUGUUGCUUUGGCGGGCCGCCCUUGGCUACCGGCCCCGGCUGGUACGCGCCCGCCAGAGGACCCCAAACCCUGAACGUCAGUGUCGUCUGAGUACUAUACAAUAGUUAAAACUUUCAACAACGGAUCUCUUGGUUCUG